rnacentral:rRNA from 1 species
GACGUAGGGCGCGAGCGUUGUCCGGAUUAUUGGGCGUAAAGAGCUCGUAGGCGGCUUGUCGCGUCGACUGUGAAACCCGCGGCUCAACCGCGGCCUGCAGCCGAUACGGGCAGGCUAGAGUUCGGUAGGGGAGACUGGAAUUCCUGGUGUAGCGGUGAAAUGCGCAGAUAUCAGGAGGAACACCAAUGGCGAAGGCAGCUCGCUGGGACGGUACUGACGCUGAGACGCGAAGCGUGGGAGCGAACAGG